rnacentral:lncRNA from 1 species
UUUUAUCAGGGGGUUCCGCUUUUGCAUCUUCCUCAUUUGCUCUUGCUGCUGCCAUGUAGGAAGUGCCUUUCACUUCCCACCAUGAUUCUGAGGCCUCCCCAGCCAUGUGGAAAUGUUGCCGCUAUAAACAAUAAAGCAAGCUCCUGGGAUGCCAGAGGAAGCCCUCAGGCAGAGUUUAAGAAGGAAGAGAAGCAGGAGAGGCAGCUAUGGCAAAGAAGACAAUGGCAGGACCUUGCAGUGGCAACCUAUCAGCAUACCAAAAACUGCACACUGUAAAGCUGCAGGGAAUAUCAGGCAGAAGAAAAGUGGAAAGGGCAUCAACAGCAUCUGCUACAUUCAGGACACUACUCACCUUUACAGGAGAUUGUGAGGAUCAGAGAUAAGAAAUAUGAAGUGUCUGGUUCAUAACAGGGACUCAACAAAUGGGAGCAAUGGUGGCAAAGAUGCCCUAGAAGAAAGAGGAGGCUGGGCACUACUAAAUGGAAGAACCUGCCAGUAACCCAGGCUGGCCAACCCAGUGUUCCUCCUCUCCUCUAGGUGUAUGCCUCCAGGCGUGUGCAGGUGAGCUGCUCAACACAGACUGCUUACACUGUUGCUAAAUUGUUGGUAUGAUUUUAGAGGAGGUUUCUGUUGAAUUUGCAGAGCAAUAAGAUAAACCCAGCCUGUGUCAUUGAGCUGCCACGUUCAAGUGUCCAUGAUGCCUUCCAUGGGCCUGAGUUACCUUUGUUUCAUGGGCCUCUUCCUCCAGUAAAAAAAAAAAAAAAAAUACAAAAUAUGCUGUAUGACCAGAUUGGUGUAAAGACAAAUACAUUAGUAUUAUACAUUAAAACUUUUUAUUGGACCUAAA